rnacentral:lncRNA from 1 species
ACUUACUUCAACAGUUCUGGAUAAAUGUUUGCAACAAGAAUACCAAUUAUGGUAUUGACCUCCUAAGUCAAAUAACGAUAAUUUUUCUGUAUGCAAAGCAUUAUAAGAAUAUUGCCAACUUAACGUAAAAUUUUAUUGAUGGGAUAUUUUUGGAGUGUUAUGGUUUAACCCAAAUAAUUGGAGAGGCUACAAGGGUAGUUGAUUUUUUUGGAUAUCUGAACUUCCACCAACUGCCUGGAAAAAAAUAUGUGCAUAUUAAUCUCACAAUUCACUGAACCCAAAGAUGGAUAGAACUCAAGAAAAUCGAAAAAAUGAAUAUGGAACAAAUCCGUUCGAAUAUAUACCGGCCUGGCCAAUGAAGUUUUUGGGUGCGAAAAUCAAUCAACCAGAGACUCGCACGAGAGAGACAGAGAGAUAGACAUGCACAAGAGAGAGAGAGAGGGGAAGAGAUUCGCACGAGACAGAAAGCCAGAGAUUCGGACUAGAGAGACAGAGACAUGCACGAGAGAGAGAAGAAGUCAAGGUCAAGGCAAGUCAAGAGUCACGGACAUGCCAAGGUAACGUGGAACGAGAAAAAGAGUCAGACAUGCACGUCAUGUGAAGUCAAGGUCACAUGGCACGAGGCAGACAUGCACAAGAGAAAGUCAAGAAUAUGCCAAAAACACGUCGAACCAAAAAGAGAGAGAGAGGCAGAGACUCGCAUGAGAAAGAAAGAGGCUCGCACUAGAGAGAACCGGUAAGACUUACACGAGAGAGACAGAAGCAGACAUGCAUGAGAGAGAGAAAAAAAUGUCAGCAAAGUAAAAUGAAGGUCACGUCGCACGAGAGAGAGAGAGAAAGGGAGACAUGCACGAGAGAGUCAAGACUGAAGGUCAUGUCAAGGUGUUACUUGCCCGUUUAUUUGCCUGUUUCAAAGCCGUUUUUUCUAACAUUCAGAGUCAUUCCAGUUAAUUGAAAUACUUGAAGUCUAGAGACAGACAUGCACGAGAGAGGGUCAAGUCAAGAUGACGUCAAGGUCACGUCGCACGAGAGAGACAGAGGCACACAUGCACGAGAGAAAGUCAAGGACAUCUCAGGAUCACCUCGAACGAGAGAGAAGCAGAGACUCGCACGAGAGAAAGCGGCAGAGACUCAUACGAGAGAGACAGAAGAAGACAUGCACGAGAAAGAGAGAAAAAGUCAAGGUCACGUCGCACGACAUCCAGAGACAGAGACAUGCACGAGAGAGAGAGGGUCAAAGUCAAGUCAAGGUUAAGUUAAACAAGGUCAAGGCCACAUAGCACGAUAGAGACAGACGAAUGAGAGUCAAGGACAAGCCCAAGUAACGUCGAACGAGAAGGAGAGGCAGAGACUCGCACGAAAUAGACAGAGCCAGACAAGCACGUCAUGUGAAGUCAAGGUCACGUCGUACGAGAAAGACAGAAGCAGACAUGCCCAAGAGCGAGUCAAGAAUAUGCCAAGAUCACGUCGAACCAAAAAGAGAGAGAAAGAAAAAGACUCGCACUAGAAACACCGACAAGACUCACAGUAGAGAGACAAAAGCAGACAUGUAUGAGAGAGAGAGAGAGAGAAAGAAAGUCAACGUAGUAAAAUGAAGGUCACGUCGAACGAUAGAGAGAGACAGAGAGGCAGACAUGCACCAGAGAGUCAAGACUGAAGGUC